AACGCACCUUGCGCCCUUUGGUAUUCCGAAGGGCAUGCCUGUUUGAGUGUCAGUAAAUUCUCAACCCCUCUCACUUUGUUGUGACGAGGUGGAUUGGAUGUGGAGGUUGCUGGACGCUUUAUUGCGAUCAGCUCUUCUGAAAUGUAUUAGCAGUAGUACCAUUACUUGGCUUGCUAAGCUUGUGAUAAUAUCUCUAGCUUGCUCGCUGGGUAGAGUUCGGGUUUGAAGGGUUGCUUUAACGAGCUCUCUUUGCCUUCUCUCUUUCGAGGGAGAUAACUAUGCGACUCUACUAGAUGGCUUCAGCUUCUAACCGUCUGUAACAAGACAAUACAACUGACUAUUUGACCUCAAAUCAGGUAGGACUACCCGCUGAACUUAA
rnacentral:misc_RNA from 2 species